rfam:Picea glauca, whole genome shotgun sequence.
CAGUGUGAUCAUUCCAACGAUAAAGCACCAGAUCCCAUCAAAACUUUGCAGUUAAGCACUCUUGGGCUAGAGUAGUAUUUGGAUGGGUGAACUCCUGGGAAGUCCUAGUGUUGCACCCU